rnacentral:rRNA from 1 species
AUUGAACGCUGGCGGCAGGCUCAACACAUGCAAGUCGAGCGGAGAUGAGGUGCUUGCACCUUAUCUUAGCGGCGGACGGGUGAGUAAUGCUUAGGAAUCUGCCUAUUAGUGGGGGACAACAUUCCGAAAGGAAUGCUAAUACCGCAUACGCCCUACGGGGGAAAGCAGGGGAUCUUCGGACCUUGCGCUAAUAGAUGAGCCUAAGUCGGAUGAGCUAGUUGGUGGGGUAAAGGCCUACCAAGGCGACGAUCUGUAGCGGGUCUGAGAGGAUGGUCCGCCACACUGGGACUGAGACACGGCCCAGACUCCUACGGGAGGCAGCAGUGGGGAAUAUUGGACAAUGGGCGGAAGCCUGAUCCAGCCAUGCCGCGUGUGUGAAGAAGGCCUUUUGGUUGUAAAGCACUUUAAGCGAGGAGGAGGCUACCUGGAUUAAUACUCUAGGAUAGUGGACGUUACUCGCAGAAUAAGCACCGGCUAACUCUGUGCCAGCCGCCGCAGUAAAAC